UACGGAGGGUGCAAGCGUUGUCCGGAAUCACUGGGCGUAAAGGGCGCGUAGGCGGCCUGGUAAGUAGGGGGUGAAAUCCUGCGGCUUAACCGCAGGGCUGCCUUCUAAACUGUCAGGCUUGAGCACGGUAGAGGCAGAUGGAAUUCCCGGUGUAGUGGUGAAAUGCGUAGAUAUCGGGAGGAACACCAGUGGCGAAGGCGACUACCUGGCCUGUUCUUGACGCUGAGGCGCGAAAGCUAGGGGAGCAAACGGG
rnacentral:rRNA from 1 species